rnacentral:rRNA from 1 species
AGCUUGCUAGAUUGACGGCGAGUGGCGAACGGGUGAGUAAUACAUCGGAACGUGCCCUGUAGUGGGGGAUAACUAGUCGAAAGAUUAGCUAAUACCGCAUACGACCUGAGGGUGAAAGUGGGGGACCGCAAGGCCUCAUGCUGUANGAGCGGCCGAUGUCUGAUUAGCUAGUUGGUGGGGUAAAGGCCCACCAAGGCGACGAUCAGUAGCUGGUCUGAGAGGACGAUCAGCCACACUGGGACUGAGACACGACCCAGACUCCUACGGGAGGCAGCAGUGGGGAAUUUUGGACAAUGGGGGCAACCCUGAUCCAGCAAUGCCGCGUGUGUGAAGAAGGCCUUCGGGUUGUAAAGCACUUUUGUCCGGAAAGAAAUCGCACUUACUAAUAUUAGGUGUGGAUGACGGUACCGGAAGAAUAAGGACCGGCUAACUACGUGCCAGCAGCCCGCGGUAAUACGUAGGGUCCAAGCGUUAAUCGGAAUUACUGGGCGUAAAGCGUGCGCAGGCGGUUGUGCAAGACGAUGUGAAAUCCCCGGGCUUAACCUGGGAAUUGCAUUGGUGACUGCACGGCUAGAGUGUGUCAGAGGGGGGUAGAAUUCCACGUGUAGCAGUGAAAUGCGUAGAGAUGUGGAGGAAUACCGAUGGCGAAGGCAGCCCCCUGGGAUAACACUGACGCUCAUGCACGAAAGCGUGGGGAGCAAACAGGAUUAGAUACCCUGGUAGUCCACGCCCUAAACGAUGUCAACUAGUUGUUGGGGAUUCAUUUCCUUAGUAACGUAGCUAACGCGUGAAGUUGACCGCCUGGGGAGUACGGUCGCAAGAUUAAAACUCAAAGGAAUUGACGGGGACCCGCACAAGCGGUGGAUGAUGUGGAUUAAUUCAAUGCAACGCGAAAAACCUUACCUACCCUUGACAUGCCACUAACGAAGCAGAGAUGCAUUAGGUGCUCGAAAGAGAAAGUGGACACAGGUGCUGCAUGGCUGUCGUCAGCUCGUGUCGUGAGAUGUUGGGUUAAGUCCCGCAACGAGCGCAACCCUUGUCUCUAGUUGCUACGAAAGGGCACUCUAGAGAGACUGCCGGUGACAAACCGGAGGAAGGUGGGGAUGACGUCAAGUCCUCAUGGCCCUUAUGGGUAGGGCUUCACACGUCAUACAAUGGUGCAUACAGAGGGUUGCCAAGCCGCGAGGUGGAGCUAAUCCCAGAAAAUGCAUCGUAGUCCGGAUCGUAGUCUGCAACUCGACUACGUGAAGCUGGAAUCGCUAGUAAUCGCGGAUCAGCAUGCCGCGGUGAAUACGUUCCCGGGUCUUGUACACACCGCCCGUCACACCAUGGGAGUGGGUUUUGCC